AGGGCUUGCUCCUUUGACGUUAGCGGCGGACGGGUGAGUAACACGUGGGUAACCUACCUAUAAGACUGGGAUAACUUCGGGAAACCGGAGCUAAUACCGGAUAAUAUUUCGAACCGCAUGGUUCGAUAGUGAAAGAUGGUUUUGCUAUCACUUAUAGAUGGACCCGCGCCGUAUUAGCUAGUUGGUAAGGUAACGGCUUACCAAGGCGACGAUACGUAGCCGACCUGAGAGGGUGAUCGGCCACACUGGAACUGAGACACGGUCCAGACUCCUACGGGAGGCAGCAGUAGGGAAUCUUCCGCAAUGGGCGAAAGCCUGACGGAGCAACGCCGCGUGAGUGAUGAAGGUCUUCGGAUCGUAAAACUCUGUUAUUAGGGAAGAACAUACGUGUAAGUAACUAUGCACGUCUUGACGGUACCUAAUCAGAAAGCCACGGCUAACUACGUGCCAGCAGCCGCGGUAAUACGUAGGUGGCAAGCGUUAUCCGGAAUUAUUGGGCGUAAAGCGCGCGUAGGCGGUUUUUUAAGUCUGAUGUGAAAGCCCACGGUUCAACCGGGAGGGUCAUUUGGAAACUGGAAAACUUGAUGCAGAAGAGGAAAGUGGAAUUCAUGUGUAGCGGUGAAAUGCGCAGAGAUAUGGAGGAAACACCAGUGGGCGGAAGGC
rnacentral:rRNA from 1 species